rnacentral:rRNA from 1 species
AGUGAACGCUGGCGGUAGGCCUAACACAUGCAAGUCGAACGGCAGCACAGUAAGAGCUUGCUCUUACGGGUGGCGAGUGGCGGACGGGUGAGGAAUACAUCGGAAUCUACUUUUUCGUGGGGGAUAACGUAGGGAAACUUACGCUAAUACCGCAUACGACCUACGGGUGAAAGCAGGGGAUCUUCGGACCUUGCGCGAUUGAAUGAGCCGAUGUCGGAUUAGCUAGUUGGCGGGGUAAAGGCCCACCAAGGCGACGAUCCGUAGCUGGUCUGAGAGGAUGAUCAGCCACACUGGAACUGAGACACGGUCCAGACUCCUACGGGAGGCAGCAGUGGGGAAUAUUGGACAAUGGGCGCAAGCCUGAUCCAGCCAUGCCGCGUGUGUGAAGAAGGCCUUCGGGUUGUAAAGCCCUUUUGUUGGGAAAGAAAAGCAUCAGGUUAAUACCCCGCUGUUCUGACGGUACCCAAAGAAUAAGCACCGGCUAACUUCGUG